GAUGAAGAACGCAGCGAAAUGCGAUAAGUAAUGUGAAUUGCAGAAUUCAGUGAAUCAUCGAAUCUUUGAACGCACAUUGCGCCCAUUAGUAUUCUAGUGGGCAUGCCUGUUCGAGCGUCAUUAAGUCCACUUAAGCCCUGCUUAGUGUUGGGAGACUGCUCCAGCGGUGCUACCCUGUAGCUACCCUGCAGCUCCUCAAAGACAGCGGCGGAGUUGUGGUAUCCUCUGAGCUUAGUAACUUGUUCUAGCUUUCGAGUACCCCACUUCCCCUGCCGUAAAACCAUUAAUUUUUAAUGGUUGACCUCGGAUCAGGUAGGAAUACCCGCUGAACUUAAGCAUAUCAAUAAGCGGAGGA
rnacentral:misc_RNA from 1 species